AUGAACGCUGGCGGCGUGCCUUAUCCAUGCAAGUCGAGCGAACAGACGAGGAGCUUGCUCCUCUGACGUUAGCGGCGGACGGGUGAGUAACACGUGGAUAACCUACCUAUAAGACUGGGAUAACUUCGGGAAACCGGAGCUAAUACCGGAUAAUAUAUUGAACCGCAUGGUUCAAUAGUGAAAGACGGCUUUGCUGUCACUUAUAGAUGGAUCCGCGCCGCAUUAGCUAGUUGGUAAGGUAACGGCUUACCAAGGCAACGAUGCGUAGCCGACCUGAGAGGGUGAUCAGCCACACUGGAACUGAGACACGGUCCAGACUCCUACGGGAGGCAGCAGUAGGGAAUCUUCCGCAAUGGGCGAAAGCCUGACGGAGCAACGCCGCGUGAGUGAUGAAGGUCUUCGGAUCGUAAAACUCUGUUAUUAGGGAAGAACAAAUGUGUAAGUAACUAUGCACGUCUUGACGGUACCUAAUCAGAAAGCCACGGCUAACUACGUG
rnacentral:rRNA from 1 species